rnacentral:rRNA from 1 species
GAUGAACGCUGGCGGCGUGCCUAAUACAUGCAAGUCGAGCGAACGGACGAGAAGCUUGCUUCUCUGAUGUUAGCGGCGGACGGGUGAGUAACACGUGGAUAACCUACCUAUAAGACUGGGAUAACUUCGGGAAACCGGAGCUAAUACCGGAUAAUAUUUUGAACCGCAUGGUUCAAAAGUGAAAGACGGUCUUGCUGUCACUUAUAGAUGGAUCCGCGCUGCAUUAGCUAGUUGGUAAGGUAACGGCUUACCAAGGCAACGAUGCAUAGCCGACCUGAGAGGGUGAUCGGCCACACUGGAACUGAGACACGGUCCAGACUCCUACGGGAGGCAGCAGUAGGGAAUCUUCCGCAAUGGGCGAAAGCCUGACGGAGCAACGCCGCGUGAGUGAUGAAGGUCUUCGGAUCGUAAAACUCUGUUAUUAGGGAAGAACAUAUGUGUAAGUAACUGUGCACAUCUUGACGGUACCUAAUCAGAAAGCCACGGCUAACCACGU